AGGCGAGUGGCCAAAGCGGCAAGGCGCCGGGUCUCAGUAAACCGAAGAUCAUGGGUUCGACCCCCAUCUGUGCUUA